rnacentral:lncRNA from 1 species
AAGCGAUUUGCCCUUUGGAGAUUAAGAGCGUGACUGCAGAGACGGUGGAGAAGAAGAAGGAAGAACCGAUCAAGCCCGUUCGAGAGAGAAGAAAGGCUGCUGUCGAUGCGCAGGCCAAGAUACAGCAGUUAGCAAAGGACGAUGCUAUUUGAGAAGUGAAACUAUAUAUAUAGAUAAUACUUAUAUUGUUGUUGGUUUAUAAAAAUGAACUGCGUUGAUUUUUAGGGGAGGGUGAACGGACUUGUCGAACAAUAAACAUUAAUAUUACGCAACCGGAAGUAAAUUGAUAGAAC